rnacentral:rRNA from 1 species
AUUGAACGCUGGCGGCAGGCCUAACACAUGCAAGUCGAACGAGCGGCGGACGGGUGAGUAAUGUAUGGGGAACUGCCCGAUGGAGGGGGAUAACUACUGGAAACGGUGGCUAAUACCGCAUACUAUCGGAUGUACCCAGAUGGGAUUAGCUAGUAGGUGGGGUAACGGCUCACCUAGGCGACGCUCGCUAGCUGGUCUGAGAGGAUGAUCAUCCACACUGGGACUGCGACACGGCCCAGACUCCUACGGGAGGCAGCAGUGGGGAAUAUUGCACAAUGGGCGCAAGCCUGAUGCAGCCAUGCCGCGUGUAUGAAGAAGGCCUUAGGGUUGUAAAGUACUUUCAGCGGGGAGGCGUUACCCGCAGAAGAAGCACCGGAUAACUCCGUGCCAGCCGCCGCGGUAAUAC